AACCAUAGAAACCUGCGGAGUACCUGCGGAGGGAUCAUUACAGAGUUGCAAAACUCCCACAAACCAUCGCGAAUCUUACCCGUACGGUUGCCUCGGCGCUGGCGGUCCGGAAGGCCCUCGGGCCCCCGGACCCUUGGGUCCCCCGCUCGCGGGGGGCUGCCCGCCGGAGUGCCGAAACCAAACUCUUGAUAUUUUAUGUCUCUCUGAGUAAACUUUUAAAUAAGUCAAAACUUUUAACAA
rnacentral:misc_RNA from 1 species